CUCGUAGGCGGCUCAGUAAGUCGGGUGUGAAACCCUCAGGCUCAACCUGGGGACGCCACUCGAUACUGCUGUGGCUAGAGUCCAGUAGGGGAGUGUGGAAUUCCCGGUGUAGCGGUGAAAUGCGCAGAUAUCGGGAGGAACACCAGCGGCGAAGGCGGCACUCUGGGCUGGUACUGACGCUGAGGAGCGAAAGCGUGGGUAGCAAACA
rnacentral:rRNA from 1 species